AGUGAACGUUGGCGGCAGGCCUAACACAUGCAAGUCGAGCGGCAGCGCGGGGCAACCUGGCGGCGAGCGGCGGACGGGUGAGGAAUACAUCGGAAUCUACCCUGUCGUGGGGGAUAACGUAGGGAAACUUACGCUAAUACCGCAUACGAACUGAGGUUGAAAGCGGCGGACCGCAAGGCGUCGCGCGAUUGGAUGAGCCGAUGUCCGAUUAGCUAGUUGGCGGGGUAAAGGCCCACCAAGGCGACGAUCGGUAGCUGGUCUGAGAGGACGACCAGCCACACUGGAACUGAGACACGGUCCAGACUCCUACGGGAGGCAGCAGUGGGGAAUAUUGGACAAUGGGCGCAAGCCUGAUCCAGCCAUGCCGCGUGGGUGAAGAAGGCCUUCGGGUUGUAAAGCCCUUUUGUCCGGGAAGAAAUCCCAUCGGUUAAUACCCGGUGGGGAUGACGGUACCGGGAGAAUAAGCACCGGCUAACUUCGUGCCAGCCGCCGCAGUAAUAC
rnacentral:rRNA from 1 species